rnacentral:rRNA from 1 species
UGAGGAAUCUUGCGCAAUGGGGGAAACCCUGACGCAGCAACGCCGCGUGAGUGAGGAAGGUCUUCGGAUCGUAAAGCUCUGUCAGUUGGAAAGAAAUGUCUGAGAGUCAAUACCUUUCAGGCUUGACGGUACCAACAGAGGAAGCACCGGCUAACUCCGUGCAAGCAGCCGCGGUAAUACGGGGGGUGCAAGCGGUUUUCGGGAUUAUUGGGCGUAAAGAGCGUGUAGGCGGCCGGAUAUGUCAGAUGUGAAAGCCCCGGGCUUAACCCGGGAAGUGCAUUUGAAACUGUCCGGCUCGAGUAGGGGAGAGGGAAGUGGAAUUCCUGGUGUAGAGGUGAAAUUCGUAGAUAUCAGGAGGAACACCGGUGGCGAAGGCGACUUCCUGGCCCUAUACUGACGCUGAGACGCGAGAGCGUGGGUAGCAAACAG